UGCGGUAAUCCUGACCGUGCUAAGGUAGCACAAUAAUGAGCCUCCUAAUUAGAGGAUAGAAUGAAUGAAUUAACAAGAAAUAAACUGUCUCCUUUUUUAAAUAUCGAAAUUUAGAUUUAGGUGAAAACUCCUAAAUUUUAAAUAAAGACAGAAAGACCCUAUAAGCUAAUAUAAUAAUACCCUAUUAAUAAAAAUAUAUUUAAUUGGGGCGAUUUUAAGUUUCAAACACUUCUUACUAUAAGAAAUAUAGUCACAAUACCUAUCCACUAGCAUAUAAGUAAGUUACUAUAGGGAUAACAGAGUAAUACU
rnacentral:rRNA from 1 species